rnacentral:rRNA from 1 species
UACGUAUGUCACGAGCGUUAUCCGGAUUUAUUGGGCGUAAAGCGCGUCUAGGUGGUUAUGUAAGUCUGAUGUGAAAAUGCAGGGCUCAACUCUGUAUUGCGUUGGAAACUGAAUAACUAGAGUACUGGAGAGGUAAGCGGAACUACAAGUGUAGAGGUGAAAUUCGUAGAUAUUUGUAGGAAUGCCGAUGGGGAAGCCAGCUUACUGGACAGAUACUGACGCUAAAGCGCGAAAGCGUGGGUAGCAAACAGG